AUAAGAGGGAAAGAGAGAGAGAGAGAGAGAGAGAAAUAGAGAAAAAGAGAGAGGAGUGGCAAUAUAUAGGAAAGGGAAUGGCGCGGGUUGGAGGAAAGGUGGCUGCGCACGAGAGAAAAAGCGAAAAAGGCGACGCUAUCUGGGGACAGUAGCGCAUCGACACGCCAUUAUGUGGCGGUUGGGACUAAUUUAUACAAGAGAAAGAGGAAGACACCGCGGUUAAGUCAAGAUUGAGUUUAAGAAGGACAGAAUGAUUACUUAAAAGAGAGGCCCCUAAUUGGAAGGUAGCCACUGUUCUUUUGAACAACAGGACAUUAUAAUUUUUUAUCUCUUGCAUUACAUCACGACAAAUGUGCAAUGUAAACGAAAAAAGAAAACUAAAAUCUAUAUAGACAUCGAAACACUUCCUAAACUAACCAGUGAGGAUAAGCGACAGUCCUAUCUUUUACACGUUCAGAAGAAGGAUGAGUUGCAUUCAUCAGUAGAAAAAUUGAAGGAUUAUUUGCAACAGAAAGAAUUGCCAUUCGAACCGAUAGUGGCAAUUGUUGGGCCCUUAUUGAAUAUCGAAUCAUUUCAUGUGAUAGUGGACGAUAUUGUGUAUACGACAAAAUAAUUUCUUGAAGCAGUUGAUUUAAAUUUUAAAGUAUUUUACGUCUUCGACCGUGAUUAUCCCCCCUUGUCGAAGAUUUAUGGAAGUUUCUUCAAAAUGUUCUUUAUGAAAUACCUCUAAUUGGCGAGAAAAUGUCAAUGCAGCAUAAACUCUUAAGUGGAAAAAUUGAAAUGCUUUGUAAAACGUAAUCAAAUUUAAGUUUAGCUACUUUUUUCUUCAAUUUCAGAGUUACAGACAAUAUUCAAUUUGUUGUAAUUUUUUUUGUUCUUCUAAUUUGACUCUAAUAAGACUUCUCAAAAAUGUUUGUUUAUUCCACAAUUUAUGUAAUUUUUAUAUAAAAAUUCAUGUAUUUAAUUCAUUUAAUUAUAGUAAAUUUGUUUAUAUUUGGAACAAA